rnacentral:misc_RNA from 1 species
AGUGCAGUCGUUCGUCCGACACGUUCGCUUCGUCGAUUUCAAUCGUUUGUCGUUCCGUGAAUUCUCUGUUAUUUUUUUCUACAGGCAUGGACGUAGCCGGGUGGAGGACUACGGACUAUGAAAUGAGAAAACGAUCACUUCCAGGAACUGAUUCAGUCUCUACAACAUCCAACUCCCCAUCGGAUUCCUCGUCGGCCAACGGGGAUGAACCUACGGCGGCUAAAAGGCAGCGAACAUCAUCAACACUCGGUAAGAGAAACGGAGGACAACGGCGGAGGAAAGCCCUAAAUGCAAGGGAAAGAAACCUCAGACGAUUGGAAAGUAACGAAAGAGAAAGAAUGAGAAUGCAUUCGCUGAACGACGCCUUUCAAGGAUUGCGAGAAGUGAUCCCUCACGUAAAGAUGAGCCGGAAAUUAUCAAAGAUUGAGACCUUAAUGCUAGCCAAGAAUUAUAUAAUGGCGUUAACAAACGUCGUUUGCGAUAUGAGGGGUGAAAGCCCUAUGUACGAAUUAGGUGAAACGAAAAACCAACCCGGGCUACCCUCUUCAAAGAAAGAAAAUAUAGGAAGUUAGAAGGUAUAGCUGGGUGUUGGAAGAGGACAUAAGAACAUAAUCCAAGGAUGUUUAUUUUUUUGACCAGUUAAGAAACAAAAAAAAUACAAAAAACUGCCACAAUCCUCACAAUGCAUCAAGUUGGGAAAACUUUUGCCCCCAAAAAUAAUCCUAGUGUUGUUCUUUGUUUUAUCGAAAAUGUUUUAUUUUGCGAAUCUUAAAUUUUAAAUAUGUUAUUGAAAUGACAACAAAAAACCGAAGAGAGUCCUCUAUUUAGCCAUAAUUAUGUACAGAAAAUCUGUCUGUAUAAGCUGUAUAUAUAUAGGCUGACUAUAUACUGAUUAUGUAAAAAGCGACAUAAAAUUACUUAUGUUAUUUAUCUAUCAUUAUGAAAUUGUUCUUUGAUUGUUCAUCUCUUUCAAAUUUUACAUUCUAUUGCUUUUAUUCUUAUUUUUUGAAGGCCAUUUUCUGAAAAGGUAACCGAUUUAAAAAAGGAAGAAACCUCACAUUUUAAACAUUCCAGCCAGUACGAUAAUGAAUAAGAUAUAUAUACAUGUAUUUAUAUAUGUCCUAUAUACACAUAAUAUUGUUUAUUCGCUAUUUAGACCUAACAAAAGAGCUUCCAUCGUUCCAUAACUUUAAAUAUUUCCUUUGUUUAUCAUUUUUUGCUUUGUUUUGUUCUUAGAAGAAUUUUUAUUUGCAUUCCAAGUUGUUUUCUGUGCACACCUAUUGCCUCUCAAUAGAGUCCUUGAAAAUGUAUAUAUAUAUAUACUAAUAUAUAUAUGUAUACAUAAAUAUAUAUCUAACAUAUAGGGACAUGUAUUGACAUCUAAGUUUUCCUAUGUUCUAUAUGUACAGUGCCUGCUCCAAGUUACAAUUAUACGCAUUUCAUCAUCAAAAAAUAUUUACAUAGGCGUAUUUAUCUCGAAGAGCAAGUGCUGUACAUAGAUAAACAACCAUAUAUAUAUAUAUG